GAUGAACGCUGGCGGCGUGCCUAAUACAUGCAAGUCGAGCGAACAGAUGAGGAGCUUGCUCCUCUGACGUUAGCGGCGGACGGGUGAGUAACACGUGGAUAACCUACCUAUAAGACUGGGAUAACUUCGGGAAACCGGAGCUAAUACCGGAUAAUAUAUUGAACCGCAUGGUUCAAUAGUGAAAGACGGCUUUGCUGUCACUUAUAGAUGGAUCCGCGCCGCAUUAGCUAGUUGGUAAGGUAACGGCUUACCAAGGCAACGAUGCGUAGCCGACCUGAGAGGGUGAUCAGCCACACUGGAACUGAGACACGGUCCAGACUCCUACGGGAGGCAGCAGUGGGGAAUCUUCCGCAAUGGGCGAAAGCCUGACGGAGCAACGCCGCGUGAGUGAUGAAGGUCUUCGGAUCGUAAAGCUCUGUUAUUAGGGAAGAACAAAUGUGUAAGUAACUAUGCACGUCUUGACGGUACCUAAUCAGAAAGCCACGGCUAACUACGUG
rnacentral:rRNA from 1 species